UACGAAGGGGGCUAGCGUUGCUCGGAUUGACUGGGCGUAAAGGGCGCGUAGGCGGUUCGUACAGUCAGACGUGAAAUUCCUGGGCUCAACCUGGGGGCUGCGUUUGAUACGUGCGGACUUGAGUGCGGAAGAGGGUCGUGGAAUUCCCAGUGUAGAGGUGAAAUUCGUAGAUAUUGGGAAGAACAUCGGUGGCGAAGGCGGCUCACUGGCCCGGUACUGACGCUGAGGUGCGAAAGCGUGGGGAGCAAACAGG
rnacentral:rRNA from 1 species